rnacentral:rRNA from 1 species
CGAGUUUCCAUAAGAUCACUGAAGUUAAGCAACAUCCACCCAUGUCAGUACCUAGAUGGGUGACCUCUUGCGAAUACCAGGUGCUGUAAG